rnacentral:lncRNA from 1 species
CUGUGAAGAAGGAUGAGCUUGCUUCCCCUUCCACCAUGUUUGUAAGCUUCCUGAGGCCUUCCCAGCCAUGCUGAACUGAACUUGCUCUGUCACCCAGGCUGGAGUGCAGAGGCUCAGUCUCGGUUCACUGCAACCUUCACCUCCUGGGCUCAGGUGAUCUUCCCACCUCAGCCUACCAAGUAGCUGACACUACGGUUGUGCACCACCACACUUGGCUGAUUUUUCAAGGCUUUUUUAGAGACGAAGUCCCACUAUAUCACCCAGAAAUAUCGGCCCGGCGCAGUGGCUCACGCCUGUAAUUCCAGCACUUUGGCAGGCGGAGGCGGGCGGAUCACAAGGCCAGGAGUUCAAGACCAUCCUGUCUAACACGGUGAAACCUCGUCUCUACUGAAAAUACAAAAAAAUUAGCCAGGCGUGGUAGCGAGAGCCUGUAGUCCCAGCUACUCGGGAGGCUGAGGCAGGAGAAUGGCGUGAACCUGGGAGGCGGAGCUUGCAGUGAACCGAGAUCGCGCCGCUGCACUCCAGCCUGGAUGUCAGAGCAAGACUCCGUCUCAAAAAAAAAAAAAAAAAAAAAGAAAGAAAUGUAUAAAUGUAUGCAGAAGAUUACAGGAAAUGUUAACCAACUUAUGGCAUUAGUGUUGGUGAUAGUUAUGACUUACCUGUCAGGCAUAGUAUAAGACAAAUUGAUUAUUUGCUGAAAAUCAAUUCAGAACAAAGCCAUAUGCUCAGAGGAAAAAGCCAAACAAAAUCUCAGCUAAUUACAGGACAAUGAUUUAUAGGACUAGAUCAUGUCAGAACUUUUCAAAGCUUUUUAUGGUGGGUUAAAAUGUUGAGGCUAGUUCCCAAGAGAAUAUAACCAGGGUUCUGGUCAACACAAAUUUAGCAUCAAGAAAAGCAUCCAUUUUUGGUAGAUUAGUUUCUUAUGGUUCCCAGAUUUUUAAUGAAGUAAUGGGUCACAAAAAUUAUGAGGACCAUUCUAUGCCUAAUAUCUCCCUGGGAAAUAAUCACAAUACUCUACUCUUUUUGGACUUAUGAGAUGAGAGUGGCAGCAACAGUGCUUCCCCAGUGACAUUUGUCUAUUGUUCUUGUUAAGCUUUGGUCAGCAGUCCUGAGCCAGGCCAUAGUCAACCGCACACCUGCUUUUAUCCACUAAUGUGAGCCCUGCUUUGUAAAGAGAGUUUACUAUGAACUCAGCAUCCCAGUGCACCAAGAAACAGAACCCUAAUCAAUGGAGAAACCACCAUUGGCACAACAAUAUGUCUCCUUAUUACUCUUUGGACCUUUCCACACUGUAGUGUAAUUUAUCUUUUCGUAGCCUGUGUUGCCCGCUGAUUUUACAUCUCUCAAGAGCUAGCAUGAAAUCAUCUAUUUAUGUGCGAUGCCUACCACAGGGUCAGAUAUAUAAUGAGCAGGUAAUAAAUAUUUAUUGAAUGAAUUAUUUGGUCUUAAAUAAAACAACAUGUAUACUUUAAAAUAAAAUGAUCAAUUCCACAUAUAUUAAAGAGUUAAACAUAAAAUGUAAACUAUAAAAGAAUUAGAGAAAACCAAAAUGAAUAUCUUAGAGUGAGGAAGUACAUUAUAAAAAAAAAAGUAAAGGAAUAUAGCAAAGAAAAUGGUUAAAAAUAGAUAUAAAUUUGCUCUAGAUGACAGCCAAUGAGACUUGACAUUGGAAUCAAGAAUUGGUUGCCUCCUUGUCUGUGUUCUGCUAAGCUACUUUGAAAAAAUGGUUUUACCACAAUUGAAUAUUUUAAAUGAUGUGUUAAAAAGAACAAUAUUCCUAUAAAUAAUACUGUGCUUACACAGAUAAAUUAGUUUAAUAAAUUAAGGAAAAAAGAUACAUGAAUUAGCAAGGUGAAUUGAAAUGUAUUUUAAAAAAUCAUCAACAAAUAAUGAUUUGACUGUCUUGGAAUUUAGUCAGUUAACCUGGUGUCCCUUAGAUGUGAUUCUGGAAACAAAGUACUGGGGAAUUACAUACUAUUAAAUAUGUACAGUUAACUUCACAGUUAUAUAAUAAAUAAUCCUUCUGUUUAUCUCAGCCUUUAUUGAUAAGGUUGUUUUACAAGUAGUAUGCCAUAUGAUAUGGUUUGGCUGUGCCCCCACCCAAAUCUCAACUUGAAUUGUAUCUCCCAGAAUUCCCACGUGUUGUGGGAGGGACCCAGUGGGAGGUAAUUGAAUCAUGGGGGCUUGUCUUUCUCAUGCUAUUCUCGUGAUGGUGAAUAAGUCUCAUGAGAUCUGACAGGUUUAUUAGGGGUUUCCACUUUUUCUUCCUCAUUCUCUCUUGCCACCACCAUGUAAGAAGUGCCUUUCACCCUCCACCAUGAUUGUGAGAAUUUCCCUAGCCACAUGGAACUGUAAGUCCAAUUAAACCUCUUUCUUUUGUGAAUUGCCCAGUCUCAAGUGUGUCUUUAUCAGCAGUGUGAGAAUGGACUGAUACACCAUACUAACCAAGUGAUUUACCUAUGGUUAAGGACGCUAAGAAAUAACCUAAAGGCAGUCAUGUUCUCAAAAAGCCAUAUACUUUGUUCUUACACCUAUCAUUUUUGCCAUCUGAUUCACCAUCACAAAGAUUUUUUGGG